rnacentral:rRNA from 1 species
AGCGAACGCUGGCGGCGUGCCUAACACAUGCAAGUCGAACGUGAAAGGGAGCAAUCCUGAGUAAAGUGGCGUACGGGUGAGUAACGCGUAGGUAAUCUACCCCAGAGUCUGGAAUAACCUGCCGAAAGGCGGGCUAAUACUGGAUAGAGCGACGGAAUCCGUAAUCGGGUUUUUCGGGAAAGGGAGGAAGCAAUUCCCUUUGCACUGGGCUGAGCCUGCGUCUCAUUAGCUAGUUGGUGGGGUAACGGCCCACCAAGGCUUCUGAUGGGUAGCUGGUCUGAGAGGAUGAUCAGCCACACUGGAACUGAAACACGGUCCAGACUCCUACGGGAGGCAGCAGUGGGGAAUCUUGCGCAAUGGACGAAAGUCUGACGCAGCCACGCCGCGUGAGUGAAGAAGGCCUUCGGGUUGUAAAGCUCUGUCGAGCGGGACGAAAAGUUUUCAGGCGAAUAGCCUGAAGAUGUGACGGUACCGCUAAAGGAAGCACCGGCUAACUCCGUGCCAGCCGCCGCGGUAAAAC